rnacentral:rRNA from 1 species
GUCUCCGUUGGUGACCAGCGGAGGGACAUU